rnacentral:tRNA from 1 species
GGAGGGGUAGCAUAGUCUGGUCUAAUGCGCUCGCCUGGAACGCGAGUACGGUGAAUAGCCGUCGUGGGUUCGAAUCCCACCCUCUCCG